rnacentral:rRNA from 1 species
UGGGGAAUUUUGGACAAUGGGCGAAAGCCUGAUCCAGCAAUGCCGCGUGUGUGAAGAAGGCCUUCGGGUUGUAAAGCACUUUUGUCCGGAAAGAAAUCCUUGGCUCUAAUACAGUCGGGGGAUGACGGUACCGGAAGAAUAAGCACCGGCUAACUACGUGCCAGCAGCCGCGGUAAUACGUAGGGUGCAAGCGUUAAUCGGAAUUACUGGGCGUAAAGCGUGCGCAGGCGGUUUGCUAAGACCGAUGUGAAAUCCCCGGGCUCAACCUGGGAACUGCAUUGGUGACUGGCAGGCUAGAGUAUGGCAGAGGGGGGUUAGAAUUCCACGUGUAGCAGUGAAAUGCGUAGAGAUGUGGAGGAAUACCGAUGGCGAAGGCAGCCCCCUGGGCCAAUACUGACGCUCAUGCACGAAAGCGUGGGGAGCAAAACAGGAUUAGAUACCCUGGUAGUCCACGCCCCUAAACGAUGUCAACUAGUUGUUGGGGGACUUCAUUUUCCUUAGUAACGUAGCUAACGCGUGAAGUUGACCGCCUGGGGAGUACGGUCGCAAGAUUAAAACUCAAAUGAAUUGACGGGGU